rnacentral:lncRNA from 1 species
CAGCUAGCGUCCGUGCCGGCAACGCGGGUACCCGGGCUGGAGAGUGGCGCCGUCCCUCCCCCGCCCCCAGGCGUCCCUGGGGUCGGCGCCAGAGCCUGGGAGCCCCGGAGGCUCUGGCUCGAUGGCGGCGAGGCGGGCUCUGGGUCCUCUCCCGGCCAGGCCGAGCUUAGUAUGUGGAGGCGGCGGCGGGAGCGUGGGCAUGGACCAAGGGAAGGGGGACCCCCCCCAAACCGCACUGGUGCUUUCCUUUCCCUCCACUCGCGCCGUAGCCCUCCCCAAAUUGCCCGUCUCCGGUAGGACUGAAUCUGUCUGCUGGCCUCUCAGCUACCAACUUUGCCCGAAAUCUAGAUCCCAGACCUGGGGCAGCUCCACCAAACUACAUCAUCGUCACUUAGCACAGCACUUACUCUCUCUAAUAAAAAAAAACACUCCAGGUGCUAUACUGGAUGGAUUAUUAUCAACAGAGGACUCCAAAAUUUGGUUUAUGCCCUACUCUUUCAAGAUGCAAGGCAGGCUGAAGUCUCAGAUGUGUUUUCUGCAUGCUAACGUGACAACUGAAAAAAAAUCUGGCCUGAUGCGUGAAGACAGUAAGUAG